rnacentral:rRNA from 1 species
AGCGAACGCUGGCGGCAGGCCUAACACAUGCAAGUCGAACGAACUCUUCGGAGUUAGUGGCGGACGGGUGAGUAACACGUGGGAACGUGCCUUUUGGUUCGGAAUAACUCAGGGAAACUUGUGCUAAUACCGAUGUGCCCUUCGGGGGAAAGAUUUAUCGCCAUUAGAGCGGCCCGCGUCUGAUUAGCUAGUUGGUGAGGUAACGGCUCACCAAGGCGACGAUCAGUAGCUGGUCUGAGAGGAUGACCAGCCACACUGGGACUGAGACACGGCCCAGACUCCUACGGGAGGCAGCAGUGGGGAAUCUUGCGCAAUGGGCGAAAGCCUGACGCAGCCAUGCCGCGUGAAUGAUGAAGGUCUUAGGAUUGUAAAAUUCUUUCACCGGGGACGAUAAUGACGGUACCCGGAGAAGAAGCCCCGGCUAACUUCGUG